rnacentral:rRNA from 1 species
UUUAUGGAGAGUUUGAUCCUGGCUCAGGAUGAACGCUGGCGGCGUGCCUAAUACAUGCAAGUCGAGCGAACGGAUGAGAAGCUUGCUUCUCUGAUGUUAGCGGCGGACGGGUGAGUAACACGUGGAUAACCUACCUAUAAGACUGGGAUAACUUCGGGAAACCGGAGCUAAUACCGGAUAAUAUUUUGAGCCGCAUGGUUCAAAAGUGAAAG